GAUGAACGCUAGCGGCAGGCCUAAUACAUGCAAGUCAAGGGGCUCGCAAGAGCACCGGCGGACGGGUGCGUAACGCGUACACAACGUACCUCAGAGCGGGGGAUAGCAUUGGGAAACUGGUGGUAAAACCCCAUGGUGUUGCUGAAUGGCAUCAUUUAGCAACUAAAGUUUACACUUUGAGAUCGGUGUGCGUCUGAUUAGCUAGUUGGCGGGGUAACGGCCCACCAAGGCGACGAUCAGUAGGGGGUGUGAGAGCAUGACCCCCCCACAUGGGUACUGAGACACGGACCCAACUCCUACGGGAGGCAGCAGUAGGGAAUAUUGGGCAAUGGACGAAAGUCUGACCCAGCCAUGCCGCGUGCGGGACGAAGGCCUUCGGGUUGUAACCGACUUUCAGCCGGAAAGAAAUCGCCGUUUUUAAUACAGACGGUGGAUGACGGUACCGGAAGAAGAAGCACGGCUAACUACGUAGCCAGCACGCCGCGGUAAAGUAGUCGUGU
rnacentral:rRNA from 1 species